UACGGGGGGGCAAGCGUUGUUCGGAAUUACUGGGCGUAAAGGGCUCGUAGGUGGCCAACUAAGUCGGACGUGAAAUCCCUCGGCUUAACCGGGGAACUGCGUCCGAUACUGGUUGGCUUGAGUUUGGGAGAGGGAUGCGGAAUUCCAGGUGUAGCGGUGAAAUGCGUAGAUAUCAGGAGGAAUACCGAUGGCGAAGGCAG
rnacentral:rRNA from 1 species